rnacentral:rRNA from 1 species
GACGAACGCUGGCGGCGUGCUUAACACAUGCAAGUCGAACGGGAAGGCCCUGCUUUUGUGGGGUGCUCGAGUGGCGAACGGGUGAGUAACACGUGAGUAACCUGCCCUUGACUUUGGGAUAACUUCAGGAAACUGGGGCUAAUACCGGAUAGGAGCUCCUGCUGCAUGGUGGGGGUUGGAAAGUUUCGGCGGUUGGGGAUGGACUCGCGGCUUAUCAGCUUGUUGGUGGGGUAGUGGCUUACCAAGGCUUUGACGGGUAGCCGGCCUGAGAGGGUGACCGGCCACAUUGGGACUGAGAGACGGCCCAGACUCCUACGGGAGGCAGCAGUGGGGAAUAUUGCACAAUGGGCGGAAGCCUGAUGCAGCAACGCCGCGUGCGGGAUGACGGCCUUCGGGUUGUAAACCGCUUUCGCCUGUGACGAAGCGUGAGUGACGGUAAUGGGUAAAGAAGCACCGGCUAACUACGUG